rnacentral:rRNA from 1 species
GAUGAACGCUGGCGGCGUGCUUAACACAUGCAAGUCGAACGAAGCACUUAUCUUUGAUUCUUCGGAUGAAGAGGUUUGUGACUGAGUGGCGGACGGGUGAGUAACGCGUGGGUAACCUGCCUCAUACAGGGGGAUAACAGUUAGAAAUGACUGCUAAUACCGCAUAAGACCACAGAGCCGCAUGGCUCGGUGGGAAAAACUCCGGUGGUAUGAGAUGGACCCGCGUCUGAUUAGGUAGUUGGUGGGGUAACGGCCUACCAAGCCAACGAUCAGUAGCCGACCUGAGAGGGUGACCGGCCACAUUGGGACUGAGACACGGCCCAAACUCCUACGGGAGGCAGCAGUGGGGAAUAUUGCACAAUGGGGGAAACCCUGAUGCAGCGACGCCGCGUGAGCGAAGAAGUAUUUCGGUAUGUAAAGCUCUAUCAGCAGGGAAGAAAAUGACGGUACCUGACUAAGAAGCACCGGCUAAAUACGUGCCAGCAGCCGCGGUAAUACGUAUGGUGCAAGCGUUAUCCGGAUUUACUGGGUGUAAAGGGAGCGUAGACGGCUGUGUAAGUCUGAAGUGAAAGCCCGGGGCUCAACCCCGGGACUGCUUUGGAAACUAUGCAGCUAGAGUGUCGGAGAGGUAAGUGGAAUUCCCAGUGUAGCGGUGAAAUGCGUAGAUAUUGGGAGGAACACCAGUGGCGAAGGCGGCUUACUGGACGAUGACUGACGUUGAGGCUCGAAAGCGUGGAGAGCAAACAGGAUUAGAUACCCUGGUAGUCCACGCCGUAAACGAAGACUACUAGGUGUCGGGGAGCAAAGCUCUUCGGUGCCGCCAGCAAACGCAAUAAGUAGUCCACCUGGGGAGUACGUUCGCAAGAAUGAAACUCAAAGGAAUUGACGGGGAGCCGCACAAGCGGUGGAGCAUGUGGUUUAAUUCGAAGCAACGCGAAGAACCUUACCUGCUCUUGACAUCCCGGUGACCGGCAUGUAAUGAUGCCUUUUCUUCGGAACACCGGUGACAGGUGGUGCAUGGUUGUCGUCAGCUCGUGUCGUGAGAUGUUGGGUUAAGUCCCGCAACGAGCGCAACCCUUAUCUUCAGUAGCCAGCAAUUCGGAUGGGCACUCUGGAGAGACUGCCAGGGAUAACCUGGAGGAAGGUGGGGAUGACGUCAAAUCAUCAUGCCCCUUAUGAGCAGGGCUACACACGUGCUACAAUGGCGUAAACAAAGGGAAGCGAGCCUGCGAGGGUAAGCAAAUCUCAAAAAUAACGUCUCAGUUCGGAUUGUAGUCUGCAACUCGACUACAUGAAGCUGGAAUCGCUAGUAAUCGCGAAUCAGCAUGUCGCGGCGAAUACAAACCCGGGUCUUGCACUCCCCGCCCGUCA